GGAAGUAUUUUUUCCGCCCCGCCCGGAAAGGGUGGAGCACAACGUCGAAAGCAGCCGUUGGGAGCCCAGGAGGCGGGGCGCCUGUGGGAGCCGUGGAGGGAACUUUCCCAGUCCCCGAGGCGGAUCCGGUGUUGCAUCCUUGGAGCGAGCUGAGAGCUCGAGAACCUGCUAAGGCCAUCAAACCUAUUGAUCGGAAGUCAGUCCAUCAGAUUUGCUCUGGGCCGGUGGUACCGAGUCUAAGCACUGCGGUGAAGGAGUUAGUAGAAAACAGUCUGGAUGCUGGUGCCACUAAUAUUGAUCUAAAGCUUAAGGACUAUGGAGUGGAUCUCAUUGAAGUUUCAGGCAAUGGAUGUGGGGUAGAAGAAGAAAACUUCGAAGGCUUAACUCUGAAACAUCACACAUCUAAGAUUCAAGAGUUUGCCGACCUACCUCAGGUUGAAACUUUUGGCUUUCGGGGGGAAGCUCUGAGCUCACUUUGUGCACUGAGUGAUGUCACCAUUUCUACCUGCCAUGUAUCGGCGAAGGUUGGGACUCGACUGGUGUUUGAUCACUAUGGGAAAAUCAUCCAGAAAACCCCCUACCCCCACCCCAGAGGGAUGACAGUCAGUGUGAAGCAGUUAUUUUCUACGCUACCUGUGCACCAUAAAGAAUUUCAAAGGAAUAUUAAGAAGAAACGUGCCUGCUUCCCCUUCGCCUUCUGCCGUGAUUGUCAGUUUCCUGAGGCCUCCCCAGCCAUGCUUCCUGUACAGCCUGCAGAACUGACUCCUAGAAGUACCCCACCCCACCCCUGCUCCUUGGAGGACAACGUGAUCACUGUAUUCAGCUCUGUCAAGAAUGGUCCAGGUUCUUCUAGAUGAUCUGCACAAAUGGCUCCUCUCCUCCUUCCUGAUGUCUGCCAUUAGCACUGGAAUAAAGUUCCUGCUGAAAAUCCACAUCUCCCCUGGGUCCGGUGUUCUGGAAGUGAGAGAGACAAUGUCACACCUCAAGGAGACAGCUCUCUAGACAGGAAGGUUAUUCACGUCCCAUGUCAAGUCUAGCUAGAGUUCAGAGCAAUUGAGAAGUGCGAUUUUAUCUCCUGCCUUUCAUUCUAUACCCUGCUUCUGAACCAUCGUGUUCAACUGUGAAACUCACGCUUUGGUGACCCUGACUCCAAAACUUAAUACACCCAAGGUCAGCCCCA
rnacentral:lncRNA from 1 species